rnacentral:rRNA from 1 species
ACGCACGCUGGCGGCGUGCUUCACCCCUGCCAGUCGUACGGUAAGGCCCUUUCGGGGGUACACGAGUGGCGAACGGGUGAGUAACACGUGAGUAACCUGCCCACAACUUUGGGAUAACGCUAGGAAACUGGUGCUAAUACUGGAUAUGUGCUCCUGCUGCAUGGUGGGGGCUGGAAAGCUCCGGCGGUUGUGGAUGGACUCGCGGCCUAUCAGCUUGUUGGUGGGGUAGUGGCCUACCAAGGCGGCGACGGGUAGCCGGCCUGAGAGGGUGACCGGCCACAUUGGGACUGAGAUACGGCCCAGACGCCUACGGGAGGCAGCAGUGGGGAAUAUUGCACAAUGGGCGCAAGCCUGAUGCAGCAACGCCGCGGGCGGGAUGACGGCCUUCGGGUUGUAAACCGCUUUCAGCAGGGACGAAGCUUUUUGUGACGGUACCUGCAGAAGAAGCACCGGCUAACUACGUG